UACCAAGUUUAUUCUGUGAGAUA
rnacentral:piRNA from 1 species